CUACUACUCCCUCUGUUCGAAAAUACUUGUCAUUGAAAUGGAUGUAUCUAGAUGUAUUUUAGUUCUAGACACAUCCAUUUUGAUGACAAGUAAUUCUGGACGGAGGGAGUAUUAU
rnacentral:pre_miRNA from 1 species